GGGCUUGUGCUCAUUCCUGGCUUUGUGAGACUGCACACUUAUCAUCGCCCUCGCUAAUUCCAUCUGCCGCGGUGGUGUGAGGUCUGCCAGGUGCCCCGUCCAGGUGUGCUGCAUUAUCCCUUCUUAGCGUUCACAAGAGUCUGGGGUUGGGACAGCCCUCUGGUACGAAGGGAGGAAUUGUAGCAGCCAAGGCUUAUGUUGCCUCGUCUGGGAAAGAAAGAAGUCUCCUUGGAGUGUGCUUCUGCAGUGGCAUGAUAGUGGCCACAGCCACUUGAGUAGCUGCUGAGCAGCGACAGUUCGUUCCACACGCUAAUCAGUGCAAGGAAGCUGAAGGUCUGCUUCAUUUUCUUGAUGAACUCUUAUUGAAAGCAAAUCUGCCGUGUUUGCUCCUCUGCAAGCAGUUGGAAUGCUUGUAUUUGAUAUCUGGUGUAAUUUUCACUUUUAUUCAUUGCAUCCCACAUGACACUUGGUUUAUCUGACAACUCUUAUCUUCAUUGCUGCUUUUGCUUCAUCAACCAAGGAGAUAACACUGCAAUAGUAUCUCUGUUUGGAAGAUUAAUCAAGAAAGUGAACCCAAUUUGUGCAAGAUAAUGCAAAAAGCUUGAGACAGGGCAAGGGACAAUCCACUAUCUGAGAGUAAUAGACCAUCCAAGUAUCCUCCUGCUCUUUUCACAUUUGAACUAUAAGCACUGCUGUGAAUGGGACACGUAGUGUUCUGCAAACCAGUACUUUCCAUGUUAUGUAAUGAAUCCAUAUCACUUGAGGUUGACAUUGAAACUUGUGAUCAGAGAGGUAUCCACCCAAAUGUCAACGAGCAGUCAUGAAUCACCAUUGUUUGCUGAGCAGUAUACAGAUGGCAAAAUUACCAAAGCAUCUCUGCUGCCUUACAGAAGAUUAAUAAAACUAUUCAAAUAUGAAACUACCUACCAAAAAUUCUAAAAAAAUCGCUAUA